rnacentral:rRNA from 1 species
GACGAACGCUGGCGGCGUGCUUAACACAUGCAAGUCGAACGGUGAACCUCUUCGGAGUGGCUCAGUGGCGCACGGGUGAGUGACACGUGCGCAACCUGCCCCCGGCUCUGGGAUAACUCCAAGCAAUUGGGGCUAAUACUCGAUGUUCACCGCUUCCCUCAUGGGUGGUUGUGAACAGGUUUUCCGGCUGGGGAUGGGCCCGCGGCCUAUCAGCUUGUUGCUGGGGUAGUGGCCUACCAAGGCGACGACGGGUAGCCGGGCUGUGAGGGUGACCGGCCACGCUGGGACGGAGAUAAGGCCCAGCCUCCUACGGGAGGCAACAGUGGGGAAUAGUGCGCAAGGGGCGGAAGCCUGACGCAGCGACGCCGCGUGGGGGAUGACGGCAAUCGGGUUGUAAACCUAUUUCAGCAGGCACGAAACGAAAGUGACGGUACCUGCAGAAGAAGCACCGGCCAACUACGUG